rnacentral:rRNA from 1 species
GACGAACGCUGGCGGCGUGCUUAACACAUGCAAGUCGAGCGGUAAGGCCCUUUCGGGGGUACGACGAGCGGCGAACGGGUGAGUAACACGUGGGUGACCUGCCCUCAGCUCUGGGAUAAGCCUGGGAAACCGGGUCUAAUACUGGAUAUGACUCCAUGACGCAUGUUGUGGGGUGGAAAGCCUUGUGCGGCUGAGGAUGGGCCCGCGGCCUAUCAGCUUGUUGGUGGGGNGAUGGCCUACCAAGGCGACGACGGGUAGCCGGCCUGAGAGGGCGACCGGCCACACUGGGACUGAGACACGGCCCAGACUCCUACGGGAGGCAGCAGUGGGGAAUCUUGCGCAAUGGGCGAAAGCCUGACGCAGCGACGCCGCGUGAGGGAUGACGGCCU